rnacentral:rRNA from 1 species
GCUUACGGCCAUACCACCCUGAGCGCGCCCGAUCUCGUCUGAUCUCGGAAGCUGAGCAGGGUCGGGCCUGGUUAGUACUUGGGUGGGAGACCGCCUGGGAAUACCAGGUGCUGUAAGCUUUU